GUGAGCGUAGUUCGAUGGUAAAACAUCUCCUUGCCAAGGAGAACAUACGGGUUCGAUUCGCGCCGCUCGUC
rnacentral:tRNA from 2 species